GAGCCGUACGCAAGGAUGAGGAGAACCCGGUUGAAGCUUGGAGCAACGUCGACGUCGCGUCGCGGAGCCGUUCGAGCGCGCGCGUGUUACCGUAGCAUCGCGAGGAGGCCGGGCGAGGGAGUGUUUUCGUCGUUCUCGACGCCGAGCCGGAAUUGGAGUCGCUGGUUGAGGAUCUUGUCGUCGACUGUUAGUAUUUCAGCUCGUACGCGACGUAGGAGCAUCGGAUUUCGACGAGAUUUGGUUCGUUGGAACCGGGACUUCGAGACGAAUCCAUAGGAUCCUUACUCGCCCGAUUUGGAGAAGCAUCGACCCGCCGUGUUUUACCUAGUUCUCUGUGUAGGAGUGUCGAAACGCGACGAAAUUUGACGUGCUAGAUUCGCGACUUCGAGACGAAGAUUCUGAGCCCAAGAUCGCGAUUUUUGGAGCAGGUUCCAGCGUCGACGUUUCGUAUUCUGGCCCGUUCUCUGCGUAGGAGCGUCGGAAUUCAGCGAAACCUGGGCCAUUGGAUUCGUGACUUCGAGACGAAGCUUCAGGACCCUUGUUUGCUGAAUUUGGAUAAGGUUAGCUUGGUCGGAUUUAACGCUUUCUUCGCUGCCAGGAGUUGCUUGAGAGGUGGGUUACAUCGGUUUUUACUCCUAAGUUCAUAUUCGUCGGCAUGUAUAAUUUUCGACCUUUGGAUACUCUAUUCUAGCUCGAAUUCAUGGAUUAUAUUGUAGAUUGCAAAUCUGAAUUUGGAGCAUGUGGUAAUAAAUUAAGUAGGUUAUACA